UACGAAGGGGGCUAGCGUUGUUCGGAAUUACUGGGCGUAAAGCGCACGUAGGCGGAUCAUUUAGUCAGGGGUGAAAUCCCGGGGCUCAACCUCGGAACUGCCUUUGAUACUGAUGGUCUCGAGUCCGAUAGAGGUGAGUGGAAUUCCUAGUGUAGAGGUGAAAUUCGUAGAUAUUAGGAAGAACACCAGUGGCGAAGGCGGCUCACUGGAUCGGUACUGGACGCUGAGGUGCGAAAGCGUGGGGAGGCAAACAGG
rnacentral:rRNA from 1 species